rnacentral:rRNA from 1 species
AUUGAACGCUGGCGGCAUGCUUUACACAUGCAAGUCGAACGCGGAAGGGGGCAACCCUGAGUAGAGUGGCGCACGGGUGAGUAAUACAUCGGAACGUGUCCAGUAGUGGGGGACAACCAGUCGAAAGAUUGGCUAAUACCGCAUACGCUGGAGACAGGAAAGCAGGGGACUGGGAAACCGGCCUUGUGCUAUUGGGGCGGCAGAUGUCCGAUUAGCUAGUUGGUAGGGUAAGAGCCUACCAAGGCGACGAUCGGUAGCUGGUCUGCGAGGAUGGGCAGCCACACUGGGACUGAGAGACGGCCCAGACUCCUACGGGAGGCAGCAGUGGGGAAUUUUGGACAAUGGGGGCAACCCUGAUCCAGCCAUGCCGCGUGGGGGAAGAAGGCCUUCGGGUUGUAAACCUCUUUCGGGCGGGACGAAAGCGCUCGGGCGAAUAGCCUGAGUGGAUGACGGUACCGCAAGAAGAAGCACCGGCUAACUACGUGCCAGCCGCCGCUGUAACAC